GAGACCUUUCUUUCAUGGAAGAGCGAACGCAGAGCCUUCGCUCGUUGAGGAAUUGGGAAAUGAGAAUGGAGAAAUCGGAGAAUUUCAGCGUUCAUAAUUCAGAAAUAGAUAGGAAUUUUUGAAGAUGUAGGCCGGGAAUUCCUGUCAAGUUUGGCAUCUGAGUUAGCGACGUUUCUGUUCGGAAUUCAGUCAUUUGAGCUGUUCUCAAGCAUCUAUCAAAUUUUGAUGGCAUUUACAGGUUUUUCAUGAAGCGAAGCUUGUACUAUUUCUUGGGGUCCUUUCCAAUUUCAGCUCAAUCAAUUUUAGCAGCUCUUGUGAUUACACGUUUCUUUGAAGCUGAAACCAAGUAAUGGACAUUGAAGACCUAAUCAAGACACAUAAAAUCAAACCCAUUUGGCCAAAUAUAGGAAAGAAGAAAGAAAAGUAGAAAGAAGACCCAAUCGGGGUUAACUUCAUUUUAGUCUACAAGUUGUUGUAAUGAUAUUGCUGCCUUCUAUACCAAACCCAUUUUUGAAGAAGCUAGAGCCUAAAAAUGCCUAAAAGAAUGGGAUUUUCACUUUGGAUUGACAAGAAAAUUUGAGGCCUGUAUUUGGUUUUGGUUAAACAUAUUCAAUCACUCUCUCUCU